UACGUAGGGUGCAAGCGUUGUCCGGAAUUAUUUGGGCGUAAAGAGCUCGUAGGCGGUUUGUCGCGUCUGCUGUGAAAACUCGGGGCUUAACCCCGGGCCUGCAGUGGGGUACGGGCAGACUAGAGUGCGGUAGGGGGAGACUGGAAUUCCUGGUGUAGCGGUGAAAUGCGCAGAUAUCAGGAGGAACACCGGUGGCGAAGGCGGUUCUCUGGGCAUUACCUGACGCUGAGGAGCGAAAGUGUGGGGAGCGAACGGG
rnacentral:rRNA from 1 species